GUUAAUUUAGUUUUAAGAAAAACGUUAAGUUGUGGCCUUAAAGAUAAAGGAUUUUAUUUAACUG
rnacentral:tRNA from 1 species